rnacentral:rRNA from 1 species
GCUUAACACAUGCAAGUCGAGGGGCAUCAGGAAGAAAGCUUGCUUUCUUUGCUGGCGACCGGCGCACGGGUGAGUAACACGUAUCCAACCUGCCCUUUACUCGGGGAUAGCCUUUCGAAAGAAAGAUUAAUACCCGAUAGCAUAAUGAUUCCGCAUGGUUUCAUUAUUAAAGGAUUCCGGUAAAGGAUGGGGAUGCGUUCCAUUAGGUUGUUGGUGAGGUAACGGCCCACCAAGCCUUCGAUGGAUAGGGGUUCUGAGAGGAAGGUCCCCCACAUUGGAACUGAGACACGGUCCAAACUCCUACGGGAGGCAGCAGUGAGGAAUAUUGGUCAAUGGGCGCUAGCCUGAACCAGCCAAGUAGCGUGAAGGAUGAAGGCUCUAUGGGUCGUAAACUUCUUUUAUAUAAGAAUAAAGUGCAGUAUGUAUACUGUUUUGUAUGUAUUAUAUGAAUAAGGAUCGGCUAACUCCGUGCCAGCAGCCGCGGUAAUACGGAGGAUCCGAGCGUUAUCCGGAUUUAUUGGGUUUAAAGGGAGCGUAGGUGGACUGGUAAGUCAGUUGUGAAAGUUUGCGGCUCAACCGUAAAAUUGCAGUUGAUACUGUCAGUCUUGAGUACAGUAGAGGUGGGCGGAAUUCGUGGUGUAGCGGUGAAAUGCUUAGAUAUCACGAAGAACUCCGAUUGCGAAGGCAGCUCACUGGACUGCAACUGACACUGAUGCUCGAAAGUGUGGGUAUCAAACAGGAUUAGAUACCCUGGUAGUCCACACAGUAAACGAUGAAUACUCGCUGUUUGCGAUAUACAGUAAGCGGCCAAGCGAAAGCAUUAAGUAUUCCACCUGGGGAGUACGCCGGCAACGGUGAAACUCAAAGGAAUUGACGGGGGCCCGCACAAGCGGAGGAACAUGUGGUUUAAUUCGAUGAUACGCGAGGAACCUUACCCGGGCUUAAAUUGCAGUGGAAUGAUGUGGAAACAUGUCAGUGAGCAAUCACCGCUGUGAAGGUGCUGCAUGGUUGUCGUCAGCUCGUGCCGUGAGGUGUCGGCUUAAGUGCCAUAACGAGCGCAACCCUUAUCUUUAGUUACUAACAGGUUAUGCUGAGGACUCUAGAGAGACUGCCGUCGUAAGAUGUGAGGAAGGUGGGGAUGACGUCAAAUCAGCACGGCCCUUACGUCCGGGGCUACACACGCGUUACAAUGGGGGGGUACAGAAGGCAGCUAGCGGGUGACCGUAUGCUAAUCCCAAAAUCCUCUCUCAGUUCGGAUCGAAGUCUGCAACCCGACUUCGUGAAGCUGGAUUCGCUAGUAAUCGCGCAUCAGCCACGGCGCGGUGAAUACGUUCCCGGGCCUUGUACACACCGCCCGUCAAGCCAUGGGAGCCGGGGGUACCUGAAGUACGUAACCGCAAGGAUCGUCCUAGGGUAAAACUGGUGACUGGGGCUAAGUCGU